rnacentral:tRNA from 1 species
GGAGAGGUGCCGGAGCGGUUGAACGGGCACGCCUGGAAAGCGUGUGACCGCCAAAAGCGGUCCCAGGGUUCGAAUCCCUGCCUCUCCGCCA